ACAUGAGAUUGGCUUUAAGGUAACAGACCAAAUAGAUAGGAAGGACAGUCAGCUUUGGAAAGAAUGCAGAUUUCUCACUCUGAAGCCACAUUCAGGUUGUAACCCCAGGCUGCCUCUGAAGAAAUGGCCCUCUAUGCUUUGACUUCCUAUGGCAGGACAGUGAGACUUUUCAACAACAGUUUAAGAAGAAAAAAAGGCAGGUUUGCAGUUCUGCCAUGUGAAAUUGCAGUCAGUCAAGCGUGGUAACUUUUCAAGGGCCACACCGUGAGCUGUUUCCGGAGUGGGGAAAACCUUGAUUUCAUUGGAAGCUGAAAUCCCUGAAGAAGACCUCCGUGAAGGUUCAUGAUCCACGCAUGUGUGGAGGCUCUGAAAAGAAAACAAUUUCCCUCCUCUCCAGACAGGAGUUCCCUCCCGAAGGAGUGAGCUGGCUGUGGAGAGGGAAAGGCAGGCCCAAACUGGAUCCUUCUUGCAGAGCUGGAAGUGAUGGCACCCAUCUCAGAGUAUCUGGAUGGACACAGACUAUUCAUCACAUCCUAGAGAGCCGACGUCAGAUGGGUGGGUGCUGGCCAGCCUGUCUGAAGCUCUCCUCCAGCACUGGUAUCUAUGAUCCACAGACUCAGUUCCCAUGAAGUGCUCUCUCUACUUCCCAGAAGGGGGUCCCCAUCAACAGCAGGCUUGACUGUGACCCCAGCCCCAAGGGGACUACAGGGAAGCAGCCCUCGGCAUCACAUGGCUCUGUGUCCUUACCUGGCACGUGUUCCUAUCUCUUCCUCAUCUGUGUCACUACCGUGUUGCACAGGAAUCCUCUCUCCAGUGAAAGCUUGAAAGCAACAGUGAAGGCAGGAAUGAUGGAACUUGGAUCAAUAUCCUCAGUUACCUCAAAAUCAGCUUGGAAGACAAAGGUUGUGCAGCCACUGCCCCUACAAGUGUGCAUCAGGGAGAGCAAUGAGAGUUUGCCCACCACACGCAUCAAUGCUGGAGGAGCCAGAGACGAGAGCGGACACUGAGGCUUACUAUGUCUCUAGCUUUGUGUUUCUUGGCUUUUUGCCUAGCCAGCUAUUGAGAAGCUUUCAGGAAAAUAGCAGAGCUAACACUGGUUUCUUCUCUCUACCCUCAGAAGAUGCUACCUUAUUAGGUCCUCAGAAUGAGGUCAGAAUCAGAGUGGGAGAAGGGAGGCUGCUUUCUCUUCCACCAGAGCUGGACAUUCAAGACUGCAGAGACUCCUCAGGAGCUGAUGUGUUCCAGUCUGGCAGGAAACGUAGUCCUUGUAGGGUGGGCCUGCUCAGAGCCCAGUUCAGGCCAAGGCCUUGGUGGAGACAGGCAGCAGAGAUGCAGGCUGAGUCCAGAUUAUACUCUGGGGACCAGAAGCCUCCUUGGCAUCUGAGAACUGGAGCAGGACUUGGGACUAGAAAGGAAUAGAUGAUAAUGUCCAGGACUCAGCUUAGGUCUCAGCAGCAUGAAGCUUUGCUGAUGAAGGAGAAAAUUUGUAUCUUGGACCAUUGCUUUCUUCUCUCACAACAGAUCUACCUAGGCUGAAUCAGCCCCUGUGCAAACCAGUACAGAAUCUGUACAGUGAGAUGGUUAGUUUUACUUGAUUUUGCUAAAAAAAAAAAAAAAAAAAAAA